UACGUAGGGACCAAGCGUUGUUCGGAUUUACUGGGCGUAAAGGGCGCGUAGGCGGCCUUCUAAGUCAGACGUGAAAUCCCCAGGCUUAACUUGGGAACUGCGUCUGAUACUGGAUGGCUUGAAUCCGGGAGAGGGAUGCAGAAUUCCAGGUGUAGCGGUGAAAUGCGUAGAUAUCUGGAGGAAUACCGGUGGCGAAGGCGGCAUCCUGGACCGGCAUUGACGCUGAGGAGCGAAAGCUAGGGGAGCAACGGG
rnacentral:rRNA from 1 species